UGAAGAACAAAAGGUAGUAGUCGUCGUCGUCAGUCCCGUGGCCCUGAGUCGGUGGUGCAGAAAGUGGUGAUGAUGUUCGUGUGCCACCAGCACUACCGCUGCCACCUAUAGCAGGACUACUGCCACUAGCGACAGUGCUGCCACCAGCAGGAUCAAUGCCAGCAGCGCACAUCUAGGCUUGGUAUACCUGCAUCUGAGUCUCCAUAUACUGCAUCUG